UACGGAGGGAGCUAGCGUUGUUCGGAAUUACUGGGCGUAAAGCGCACGUAGGCGGCUUUUUAAGUCAGGGGUGAAAUCCCGGGGCUCAACCCCGGAACUGCCCUUGAUACUGGAUAUCUUGAGUUCGGAAGAGGUAAGUGGAAUUGCGAGUGUAGAGGUGAAAUUCGUAGAUAUUCGCAGGAACACCAGUGGCGAAGGCGGCUUACUGGUCCGAUACUGACGCUGAGGUGCGAAAGCGUGGGGAGCAAACAGG
rnacentral:rRNA from 1 species